GGCAGAGCCAGUGAAAAGAGCUCCACGGGCUAGAAGGGCAAGAACCGGCUUGUUCACCAUUGUAUUCCUGCACCACAGCAUAAGCACUCAAUCAUUAUGGGUUAAAGGCUGAAAUUCAAAAAGAGAAAGGGAGAUGUUAGACACCUACUGACCAAGGAGGUGCCCUCCAUUCUGCUUAACCACCGCCCAGGCCAGUCAUUUCUCUCCCUGGAAGACUUUGAGUCAUGCACGCGCAAGGAAAAUUAGAGACAGGGUUUCACCAUGUUGGUCUCAAACUCCUGACCUCAAGUGAUCCACCUGCCUCAGCCUCCCAAAGUGCUGGGAUUACAGACGUGAGCCACUGCCACACAGCCGAAUAAAGGACAAGAGUAGCAAAGAGGAUUAUGAGCAGUGCAAUACAAAACAAGGCUGCAACAAAAGAUGAAGAAAUACUUCAGUGCAUGCCGUGUGCAGCCUAGAAGUUACAUAUGCAAUUGUAGAUGAAGCUAACUGACCAGGCGACACCAGGAGGAGCACGAGGACCAAGAGAACUAAGUGGGCAAGAUGCCCAGGCAGUGGACAGAAAACAGAGAACAACAACAUCCAAAGAGCCACCUGGAGAACAGAUGGGGACCGGGGACCAGAAUGCUCUUCCUAAAUCAAAUAGAAAACAGGAAGGCUGUCCAAAGAUUUGGGGGGCCAGGAGAGUGAGCAAUACAGAAGGGAUUGUGACCACCAAGCUCCCUUUCUAGAGAAUGUGUCCAAAGCAGGUCCAGGCAGACUGGGGGUGGGAGAGGAGAAUUCACAUUAAAUAUUUAUAAUGUGCACAAUGAGUUCUAGUGGGAAAUCUCAGAAGAUGCCACCAUUUCCAACUUUAAAAUACCCUUCUUCUUCAAUGUCUGUGUGUGUUUUUAGGAAUCCAAAUACAAUAAAAUAUUCAUCAUGGAGAGUUUUUGAUGGUAAAAGAGUAUCCCAGGGAAUAUCUUCUGAUGUUGUAUCGUCACCCUUUGUGGAAUUUUCUCCCUCUCACUUCAUUCUUUAUUGGGUUGGAAUUGGGAUAAAAGAGUAGAGUGGGUCAUAAGGUCCUGUUCCAAGUAAUUAGAGAGUUUUUUCUUUUAUCUAAAUGUGCCUUGUUAAAGUAUAUCAGUGUCAGCCAGGUUAAUUGGAACUUUAAUACAUAAUUGAUGCUAAUUUAUGGCUCUUUUUGUUCCAGGAUGCUACUGCAGACCUUAAAGUCAGGAUACAGUUUUCUUGUUAUUAAUUAUAUACAGAAAGCCAAUAUCCCCUAUGAGAAGAGACUCAUGUCAUCUGUAGCUUAUUAAAGAUACAGUAUGUCAGCCAUAGGUCACUUUUACUGCUUAUGCCCCCAGUAAACUCCACAUUACUCCAUAAUAACAUAAUACACUAAUCACAGUAAAUAAAAAUUAGAAUUUUAAGUUAAAGCUCAUAGCAUACUGUAUAUUAAAAUGUUAACAUACAAUGUUUUAAAAAGUGUCAUGUUUCUAUGGAUUCAUUGUAUUCCACAGGGCCACAGAAACCUGGAAUCAUUUUGGAAAUCAGUAUACCAUCUUGAAACCAAAAAUGUCUCCAUAAAUAUGAAGGCAAUAGCAAUGCCGUCACUGAGUCUGCCAUGAAGUCAGAAUGCCAAAUGAAGACUAUAAAACUUGGAUUUGCUUGCAGAGUUUCCACUGAAAUUCGAAUUCUUGGUUAGUCACUUUUUUGGAGACAGAGAAAAAUGAUGUGUUCCAAAUCCAAUUAAAGAUUCUGUGUUCUAAUUUUCUUCUAUUGUGAGGAAUUCAGUAGAUGAAAGUACAGGAUCGUGCAAGAUUUAUAAGCCACAUAAGCCCACAUGUUGUCCAAAUGGACUUAGCCAAAACCUUGAGCAAGAAAUUGAAGGAAAGGGGAAGUCCAGUAGUAUGAACUUACUUGAUGAAUAGCAGUGCUAGAUUUACAGAUGGAUAAAAGAUGCUACAUUUGCCAAUGUUGCUUCGUGACUAUUCCAUUUUGCAGGAGUGAAGAAUGGAUGACUUUAUAUAAAUUUAGUGCUUCAGAAUUUUUCUAAUAUGUCACCAUGUUGAUGUUCAACUUAACAUUGCCAUGAUGUGAUCAGAUAUGACAUAACGUGAUAAAUAGCAGGAGUGUCUCACGAUGGAACAUGACACAACAUGGUGUGUCAAGUUUCUUUUGAACCUUUCUCGGGAUCCAAUAUCAGCCAAAAGGAGGUCAUUUUAAUUAUCAGAUGAUUAAUUAAUUAGAUAGUUAAUUGUCACAGGUAGAUUAAUCCAAAGACAAUGUGGUUCUGUACAUGCACGUUUGUAGACAGAGGAAAACGUGACUUUUUAAAACGUACCUAGCUAAAUUAAAAGACACUAAAGUUUAAGAACGUGACUCAUUGUUUAUUCAAAUAACAUUCACAAACGACUAGGAUGCCAGAUGUUGUGCCAGAUGUUGUGUGAAGCAUGUUCAGAAGUAGAAAAUCAUCCCUGCCCUCAAAGGGCUGAUGAUCGAGUUGAAAACAUAAAGCUUUCUUUAAAACAAUCUGGACAUCUAGAGAAUGUUCAAUAAUUUUUUUUAAGUUAAAAACUAAGGAACAGUUUUAAGGCAAUGAAUCUUUUUAAAUGAACUAUUUCCAGUACUUUGCCACUGUUUGCUUUUUAGGGAAAGCUGUCAUAUUCCAGGAACAAGGGUAACUGCAAAGUAAUUUUUUUUAAUCAUAGUAAUGAAAUCCCAGUUUCAGACAUUCUAUGAGUUAGAUGUAAACCAAAAAAAAUUAAAACCCCAUGAAAAACUUUAAUAAAUCAGUUUUUUAAAGUUAUUGUCUACUUUUUAUUUUUCUGCUAAAAGCAGAAAUCCAAGACAUGACAAAUACUUAGUUUUCCAAAAAGAGCUGGAAUCUUAUAACCUUUAUGUAAAAGGCUGCCAAUAUUGUAAGUUCCUUUAUACAUAUUUAGAAGGGAUUUUUUUUUUUUUUGAGAUGGAGUCUCGCUCUGUCGCCCAGGCUGGAGUGCAGUGGCACAAUCUACGCUCACUGCCACCUCCGCCUCCCGGGUUCAAGCGAUUCUCCUGCCUCAGCCUCCCAAGUAGCUGGGACUACAGGCACAUGCCACUACGCCCGGCUAGUUUUUUGUAUUUUUAGUAGAGAUGGGGUUUCACUGUGUCAGCCAGGAUGGUCGUGAUCUCCUGACCUCAUGAUCCGCCUGCCUCAGCCUCCCAAAGUGCUGGGAUUACAGGCAUGAGCCACCGCGCUCGGCCAGAAUUUUUGACAAUCAAUGGCAAUUAAUGUAUCAUGCAAAAUCAUGUCAAGUGCAUUUCUUAAAGUAUCUAUUUGUAUGAGAUUUUGUCCUAGGCGUUAUAAAACAAAAUAAGCAUAUAGUUAAUGUUCUGCAAUCUAAGAUGUAAAGUACUUUUCAUUAUUCUAAACUAAUAAAGCAGUUUUUGUUUUAUUCCCUCAACUCCAC
rnacentral:lncRNA from 1 species